rnacentral:lncRNA from 1 species
CUGGCUAUAGGGUCUGAUUUCCGCACGUCAAGAGCUGCUUGUGUCCUGGGAGGAGAGCGAGCCGUUCCCUGUGUCUGUCAGAGGAGUGAAGGUGCCAAAAUGCCGGCCCAUCUGGGCAGGUGGGUGCAGCAGGGCCCAGAACGCAGGGAGGGGAAGCCAGAAGCACUGCGUGCUGCCGGGCUUCCUCCAGCUGGGUGGCACAACGUCCCCUUCCGUGGGCACAGCCCUGCUCCUGCUCUGGGCAGAGCCAAAUGGGGCUAAAAGGAUCCCAGCAGAGCGUGUCCCAGCGCUGGGCUGUGAUAACCACCAUCUGAUCUCUCCCUUAGGCAACACGCUGCCAAAGAGAGGGGAAGGAGAACUCCCGUCCUGCUUCUAGUAGUCCUUUCUGCUGGAGCCUUCCUCUGGAUAUUGGCAGCUUGGAAAAAUGACGUCCUGCAGCUGGUGUCAGCAGGACCUGUGCAUGAGCUCCCGUGUCUGGGCUAAGAACACUUCCUUGCCACGCAGCUGGCUCUGUGGUGUGGCCUCAGCUGGCUGUGCGCUCUUU